rnacentral:piRNA from 1 species
UGGAGGUUGUGAGCUUGCACCCUGCCUCA